rnacentral:misc_RNA from 1 species
CUUUACUCUCAGAUUCAAAGCUAGAGGGAAUAACAUAAGAGAGCUUUCUCGCUUCUUGCUACAGCAAUGGCGUCUGGGGGUUCGAUUUGGUUUCGCAUAUUCGUUCUGUCUUUAAUUGCAGCGAUCUCAGCUGGGGAGAGUGAAGAGAAGGAAAAGGAGUUCGUUUUGACCCUGGAUCACUCCAAUUUCACUGAUAUUGUUAGCAAGCACGAUUUCAUCGUCGUCG